GCACUGCUGAGGAGUCCCACAAUAGGACGAAACGGCCGUC
rnacentral:hammerhead_ribozyme from 1 species